UACGUAGGGUGCGAGCGUUAAUCGGAAUUACUUGGCGUAAAGCGUGCGCAGGCGGCGCGCUAAGACAGGUGUGAAAGCCCCGAGCUUAACUUGGGAAUUGCGCUUGUGACUGGCGUGCUGGAGUGUGGCAGAGGGAGGUGGAAUUCCACGUGUAGCAGUGAAAUGCGUAGAGAUGUGGAGGAACACCGAUGGCGAAGGCAGCCUCCUGGGCCAGCACUGACGCUCAUGCACGAAGGCGUGGGGAGCAAACAGG
rnacentral:rRNA from 1 species